UACGAAGGGGGCUAGCGUUGCUCGGAAUCACUGGGCGUAAAGGGUGCGUAGGCGGGUUUCUAAGUCAGAGGUGAAAGCCUGGAGCUCAACUCCAGAACUGCCUUCGAUACUGUAGAGCUUGAGUUCGGGAGAGGUGAGUGGAACUGCGAGUGUAGAGGUGAAAUUCGUAGAUAUUCGCAAGAACACCAGUGGCGAAGGCGGCUCACUGGCCCGAUACUGACGCUGAGGUGCGAAAGCGUGGGGAGCAAACAGGG
rnacentral:rRNA from 1 species